rnacentral:snoRNA from 1 species
GUGCAAGCCUCCAGCGUGCUUGGGUCUGCAGUGACCCUGUGCAUUCCUACAGUGCUUGCCAGAGCAGCUUGAAGUGGUUUGAGGCCUUGCCCUGCUCUCUCCAGAGCAAGGUUAUAGAAAUUUCAGACAAUA